UACGUAGGGGGCUAGCGUUGCUCGGAAUCACUGGGCGUAAAGCGCACGUAGGCGGCUUACUAAGUCAGGGGUGAAAUCCUGGAGCUCAACUCCAGAACUGCCUUUGAUACUGGUAAGCUCGAGUCCGGGAGAGGUGAGUGGAACUGCGAGUGUAGAGGUGAAAUUCGUAGAUAUUCGCAAGAACACCAGUGGCGAAGGCGGCUCACUGGCCCGGUACUGACGCUGAGGUGCGAAAGCGUGGGGAGCAAACAGG
rnacentral:rRNA from 1 species